GGCUACACUCGUCUUCCCUCAUUUCAUGACAGUAAAAAAUAAAAAAUACCGAGAAAUACAUGUAGAAGAAGUUUACGUCACUUCCGGUCGCCAUCUUGAUUCUUACUAAACCAGCCAAAGAAAAACCUUCAUUUGCAGAAUGAAAUAUUGAACAAGUUCAGAGUCUUGUUAAAAGCUGUGUUUGAAAGAGUUUCUGAAAGACUCACAAUCAGCUGACCUACAUCAAUCUGACUUCAGGGCUUCCACCAUUUAGGAGGAUUUGUUGAACUUUCCAACAUUUUCCUCCUACAGUACCUUAAAUUAUCCACCAGAGGGAGACAUUACCAACAGCUUCACAGUUGAGGAACAACAUGGCAGUCAGGGGAUCAAAAAGGACAAAGAAAGAACGAGCUUCCACAUGAGCACCACAAGUAAAAACACAAUGUUGGAGGGAAAAGGUUUGUGAAGGGAAGAACCCAGGUGUUGUUGGACAGACAGGACGAACUGUGGGACGGAUGGAUAGAGACAUGGACAAGAAAGACCAGUCAGGAUAGCCCACCGGUUACUGUUGUAGGAGGGAAUAUGGCCGCCACUCACAGCCACACUUUUGUUGUUGUUGGCUAACAUUGUUUAGGAGGAGAGGAAGAGAAGUAGAUUAACGAAGAAACUGGAAGAAACACUCUACUGCUACGCUAAGACAGCAGGAAACCCGGUGACCAGCGUGUCCGAUUGCUGUUGCAGUACCUGGCGCUGGGAAGUCCAGCUUGGCCCGCCGCAGCUCCGUCAUGGACGCCUGCAGCUGCUCGAUCACAAAGUCGUCCUCAAGGAAGAAAUCUUUGGCCAACGUGACCUGCAGGAACUCCACCAGCUCCUCCAUGGACAGCUUCAACAGGUCUCUAAAAUGCUGGAUGGUGGAAGUGCAGAGAGUGAAGGACUCACCGUGUUGUACAUGGAAUAAGCUGUGAGGACGUGGAAGAGCGCCUGCUGCCUGAAACCCAAACAAUCAUCAUUUAAAAUUUUUAUAUUUUAAGG